rnacentral:rRNA from 1 species
GUCUACAGCCAUGCAACCCGGAACAAGCGCAAUCCCGUCUGAUCUUGGAAGCUAAGCAGGAUCAGGCCUGUUAGUACUUGGAUGAGAGACAAUCUAGGAAGACCAGGUGCUGUAGGCA